rnacentral:misc_RNA from 1 species
UUAAGUUCAGCGGGUAUCCCUACCUGAUCCGAGGUCAACCUGAUAAAAAUGGGGGGUUGUUGGCCAGCCUCCACCCGGAGCCCUGUAGCGAGGAGUAUUACUACGCUUAGAGCCGGGUGGCACCGCCACUGAUUUUAAGGCCUGCCCGGAGGCGAGAGCCCAAGACCAGCCAAGCUGGAUUGGUUUAAAUGACGCUCGAA